ACACUCAAGAAGGUCUUGGGAUUUGGAAUAUUUUGUAGUUAUCAAUUAAGAAUGCUUGAUUUGUAGUUGAUUGUUUUAGGGAGCAAACCUAGUAUGGUCUGCUUUUUCUUCCGGUCUUAAACUAAUCUGACCAAAUUCACCAUCCUUUUACCUCCCAUAGGUGAUACAAAUUAUUAAUAGGAGAUUUUUCUUUAGAUGGCUUUAUGAGGAUUUACAAGUUGGAUUACAUUUAGGUCAGGGCUGGAGGCUCAGUUCACCUGGGUCAGAGGUGUUUAUUAUAAUAUAACCACAUAGUUACUGCAAAAGUUAAAAUCUAUGAUGAAAAUAAUUUCCUAUAUAAAAGGUAAACAUUCUAUAGGCUUCUGUAUAGUUCAGUUAUAUAGAGUGCUUAUGUAGGAUGCCUGGUCUCCAGAAACACAUACAUAUUAGUGUGUCUGGGUGGAUGGGUGGGGAUUCCUUGUUUCUAUCUUUUGACUCUUCUGAUCCCAAAGAGAUCACUAAUAUUGAUAUUUUAGAAAAUUUUAAUUUGUAAACAACAUUGGUAUAUUUAUUUCUACAUAGUAUGCUUUAAAGAUAUAUCAUCUAAAUGAUAAUCAUAUCUCUUUGGAAAUUGUAUUUAAUGAUACUUUAUUGAUUUUCAUGUCACCACAUAUAAAACUGCAUUGCUUAUUUUAGUAAUUAAAUGGCAUGCUGUUAUUUAUUUCACAUUUAUGUUGUUGCUAGGUCUGUUUGCUUGAAUGAAAUCAUGAUAAAAAUAAUGCUUGUGCAUGUAUCUGUACACACAUAUGUAGGCUCUUUCUGUACAUAUAUGUAUAGUUAUUAGAUCAGAACAUUCAUAAAGAAAAUUGGAUAGAUUGCUACGUUCAUAAAUUUAAGUGUAAUAAAUGUAGUCAAAAGUAACUUCAUGUGCCUAAAUCAUGGCAUAGAGCAUCAGUAGUGACCCCGAGACAUAACCCUCCCCCCAGUCCAGUUCUUACUACCUUGAUGCUUUUAUCAUGGUCUGUAGCUUGAGUUUGAUUUUGAUAUAAAUAGAACCAUACUUUGUGCUAUGUUUUUGUUUGUUGCUUAUGAAAUCAGUUAUCUCUUGCAUUUAGUAGGCUAUUCUCAGUCCUGAAUAUAGUGUUCCUUCUGUCAUUGCAGACUGUUUCUAGAGUGGGCUAUGUGUGCUCAGAGCAGAUUGUUUAACCAGCCAAGUGGAAAGGACUAGUUUUAAUCCCCAAACACAUCUUCCUUUCGCUCCAACAAAAGAUUGUUUCUAGGUAUUGACCAUUCUGAGAAGUGCUUCUUUGAGUAUUCUUGGAUGUGCCUUUUUGUGCCUAUUUUUACUCAUUGCUGUUGCCUGUUUCCUCAGGAUGCAAUUUUGUAGCUUGGUAAGUGUCCUGCUCCACCAGAAGUCUGUGAUUGGUUUGGCCAAGUUAUAAAGAUUGUUCCAUAUCCUUGGUAUCUGGUCUUGUCAUGUACUACAUUUUCACUGUAACCAUUUUAGUUGUAUAAUGUAAUGAAGUGUGGUUUUAGCUUUCCUUUCACUGGUAACUAGUGAGGUUUGGUAACUUGUCCUGUUUAGCCACACUUCCUCUAUGUACUGUUGUUUGAGUUGAGUUUUUGCAGGUGAUAUGAGAACCAAACCAAACCAAACCAAAACUUUUUUUUUCCCCCUGAUUGCUGUUUAGUUUUGUAAACUAACCAAGAGAUACCUUCUUUCGGUUUCCCAUUGGUAUCAGUCUGGGUAUAGCAGUGUAUAAUGAAUGUGUAGUAGAAGGUUUUUUUUUCUUCCUUCAUGCCUUUGUCACUGUCUCUCUUCUCUUCCCUUCCAUUCAGUGCCCCCCGACCCCCGGGUCCUCCCCUUCUCUUCUCUCUUACUUAUUUAUUCUGUCAGUAUGUCCAGGGUAUCAUGUAGGUUGGCCUACUCACUGUGUAGCUGAGAUGACCUUGAAGCCUUGCUUCUCUUGCCUCCACUUCCCAGGUAUGAGGCCUGCAGUCAUGGGUACCAUUCCUCUGAUAGCUUUGCUUUUAAUAAGGACUUGUACUAGAUAUGACUUGAUGCCGUCUUAGGAUAAUAAGGUAAUACACACUGAGAAGAUACUGAAGGUUCUAAACCAUAAAGAACAAAAAUGUCUGCAACUUCUGUACUCUAGAAUAACCCCUCUUAAUGCUUCUUUGGUAGCAUUGUAGUAUUUCUUUUGUUGUUAUUUUCCAGUGUAGGUGUUUGUGUGUUUGGACAAAACAUAUGUGUAUAUUUGCAUAAUGUUUUCAAAUAUCUUUUCAUAUUUAUUCCUAUUUCCCACUUAACCUUUACCAUGAAUAUUUCUCUUUUAUGUUAAUCGAAUGUGAUAUUACCAAUAACUGUAAUCAUAGUUUAUUAUUGAGUAAUAGACUUUAUAGUUUUAUUAUUAUAAAUAAUACUGCAGUUUUGCAUGGACAUUGUUACGGUUUUUUAUUUCUUUGGUAUGGGUUUCUUUAGGCUUUGGAAAUAUAAUUCUAAAUUAUAAUUCACACACAC
rnacentral:lncRNA from 1 species